CUAACACUGACAGUUAACGUGAUGCGUGGAUGUUACAAGGAAGACUUGAGAGGAAGACUCAGAUACACAGCUGGCACUCAAAGGGACGUGGAAGGGUGGAGCUGAUUGUGACAUAUUUACUCAAAAAAACCAAUUUUUAAAAAUUAAACCUAAAUGACGGCUGAAUAUCACAGAAGAAAUGAGAGGAGGAGAAAGCUUGAAGACCUGUCUGUCCACCAGAAAUGGAUGUUAUGAAAUGACAGACUCAAAUUUACCCAAUCUCAAUUAUCACAUUAGCAACAGAGCUACUGAAGCCUGCUUUCUUUUGUAUUUGUGUCUUGAACUUGGAUUUAUUCAUGUCUGAAUAAGAUAUGAGGGCCAGAUGACGCGUCACCUGUCCUGCGUGUGCUUCUCCACAUGGCUUUUAAUAAGG
ensembl:lncRNA